rfam:Saprospiraceae bacterium KD52 Scaffold1_38, whole genome shotgun sequence.
GGAGGAGUGGCAGAGCGGUUGAAUGCACCGGUCUUGAAAACCGGCAUGGGUCACACCAUCGGGGGUUCGAAUCCCUCCUCCUCCG